UACGUAGGGUGCAAGCGUUAAUCGGAAUUACUGGGCGUAAAGCGUGCGCAGGCGGUUUUGUAAGUCUGACGUGAAAUUCCCGGGCUCAACCUGGGAAUUGCGUUGGAGACUGCAAGGCUAGAAUCUGGCAGAGGGGGGUAGAAUUCCACGUGUAGCAGUGAAAUGCGUAGAGAUGUGGAGGAACACCGAUGGCGAAGGCAGCCCCCUGGGUCAAGAUUGACGCUCAUGCACGAAAGCGUGGGGAGCAAACAGG
rnacentral:rRNA from 1 species